rnacentral:rRNA from 1 species
CCUACGGGAGGCAGCAGUGAGGAAUAUUGGUCAAUGGCCGGAAGGCUGAACCAGCCAUGCCGCGUGAAGGUCAGUGCCAUAUGGGCGUUAAACUUCUUUUGUGCGGGAGCAAUAAUGGUCACGUGUGGCUAGACGAGAGUACCGUACGACUAAGCAUCGGCUAACUCCGUGCAAGCAGCCGCGGUAAUACGGGGGAUGCAAGCGUUAUCCGGAUUUAUUGGGUUUAAAGGGUGCGUAGGCUGUGAGGUAAGUCAGCGGUGAAAUGCCCCCGCUCAACGGGGUGAAGUGCCAUUGAUACUGCCUUGCUGGAAUGCGGAUGCCGUAGGAGGAAUGUGUUGUGUAGCGGUGAAAUGCAUAGAUAUCACACAGAACACCGAUUGCGAAGGCAUCUCACGAAUCCGCGAUUGACGCUGAUGCACGAAAGCGUGGGUAUCAAACAGGAUUAGAGACCCUUGUAGUC